AUGAGCCUGUUUGGACUUGACGACAAUGAGUUUGAGUUUGAGAACCUCACAGCCAGUGUGUGGAAUGGCAAUGUAGAAAACUCUUCCAAUAAAGGAUCAUUUGAGGGCAGCCUGGCAGAGGCAAGGCCAGAGGAACUAACUCCUCACGUAAUGGUGCUCCUGGCCCAGCACCUGGCCCGCCACCCCGGUGGCGGGAGCCUCAGCUUCUGGAAGCCAUUGCCCACUUCCUAGUUGUCCAGGAAGCCCAGCUCAACAGCAAGGCUGUACAGAAGCUGGUUCUGCCCUUUGGGCCUCUGAACUACUUGCCUCUGGAUCAGCAAUUUAUGCCCUGUCUGGAGAGGAUCUUGGCUCGUGAAGCAGGUAUGGCAGUCCUAGCUACUGUCAAUAUCUUGAUGUCACUGUGCCAGCUGCAGUGCCUGCCCUUCCGAGCCCUGCGCUUUGUCUUCUCACCAAGUUUCAUCAACCACAUCAGUGGUACACCUCACGCUCUGAUUGUGCGUAGCUACCUCUCUCUGAUCGACACAGCUGUGGAGCUGGAGCUCCCAGGAUACUGGGGUCCCCGCCUUCCCCAGAAGCAGCAAGUGCCCAUCUUACCCCAGCCACUCACCACUGAUCGUGCCCGCUGCAAGUACAGUCACAAGGAUAUAGUAGCUGAGGGGCUGCGACAACUUCUGGGAGAGGAAAAGUACUGGCAGGACCUGACUGUGCCUCCAGGCUACUGCACAGACUUCCUGCUGUGUGUAAGCAGUAAUGGUGCUGUGCUUCCUGUGAGGACCCAGGACCCUUUCCUACCAUACCCACCAAGAUCCUGUCCUCAAGGCUGGGCUGCCUUGAACACCACCACCGGAGACCCUAUUCAGAGGGUGGUGCUCAUGCUGCAGGAAUGCUGGCAUUUCUGCUGGGACGGGAGGGUCCUGCUCGGCUCUCGGGCCCUGAGAGAGCGGCACCUUGUAAAACUUCUUUGA